rnacentral:rRNA from 1 species
UGGGGGAUAUUGCACAAUGGGGGAAACCCUGAUGCAGCAACGCCGCGUGAAGGAAGAAGGUCUUCGGAUUGUAAACUUCUGUCCUCAGGGAAGAUAAUGACGGUACCUGAGGAGGAAGCUCCGGCUAACUACGUGCCAGCAGCCGCGGUAAUACGUAGGGAGCGAGCGUUGUCCGGAUUUACUGGGUGUAAAGGGUGCGUAGGCGGAUCUGCAAGUCAGUAGUGAAAUCCCAGGGCUUAACCCUGGAACUGCUAUUGAAACUGUGGGUCUUGAGUGAGGUAGAGGCAGGCGGAAUUCCCGGUGUAGCGGUGAAAUGCGUAGAGAUCGGGAGGAACACCAGUGGCGAAGGCGGCCUGCUGGGCCUUAACUGACGCUGAGGCACGAAAGCAUGGGUAGCAAACAGGAUUAGAUACCC